rnacentral:rRNA from 1 species
UACAGAGGGGGCAAGCGUUGUCCGGAAUUAUUGGGCGUAAAGGGCUCGUAGGCGGUCUGUUGCGUCGGGAGUGAAAACUCAGGGCUUAACCCUGAGCCUGCUUCCGAUACGGGCAGACUAGAGGUAUGCAGGGGAGAACGGAAUUCCUGGUGUAGCGGUGAAAUGCGCAGAUAUCAGGAGGAACACCGGUGGCGAAGGCGGGUCUCUGGGCCGAUACUGACGCUGAGGAGCGAAAGCGUGGGGAGCGAACAGG